GAUGAACGCUGGCGGCGUGCCUAAUACAUGCAAGUCGAGCGAACGGACGAGAAGCUUGCUUCUCUGAUGUUAGCGGCGGACGGGUGAGUAACACGUGGAGAACCUACCUAUAAGACUGGGAUAACUUCGUGAAACCGGAGCUAAUACCGGAUAAUAUUUUGAACCGCAUGGUUCAAAAGUUAAAGACGGUCUUGCUGUCACUUAUAGAUGGAUCCGCGCUGCAUUAGCUAGUUGGUAAGGUAACGGCUUACCAAGGCAACGAUGCAUAGCCGACCUGAGAGGGUGAUCGGCCACACUGGAACUGAGACACGGUCCAGACUCCUACGGGAGGCAGAAGUAGGGAAUCUUCCGAAAUGGGCGAAAGCCUGACGGAGCAACGCAGCGUGAGUGAUGAAGGUCUUCGGAUCGUAAAACUCUGUUAUUAGGGAAGAACAUAUGUGUAAGUAACUGUGCACAUCUUGACGGUACCUACUCAGAAAGCCACGGCUAACUACGUG
rnacentral:rRNA from 1 species